rnacentral:rRNA from 1 species
CCUACGGGGGGCAGCAGUGGGGAAUAUUGGACAAUGGGCGAAAGCCUGAUCCAGCCAUGCCGCGUGUGUGAAGAAGGCCUUCGGGUUGUAAAGCACUUUCAGUGGGGAAGAAAGCCUUGGGGCUAAUACCCUCGAGGAAGGACAUCACCCACAGAAGAAGCACCGGCUAACUCCGUGCCAGCAGCCGCGGUGAAUACGGAGGGUGCGAGCGUUAAUCGGAAUUACUGGGCGUAAAGCGCGCGUAGGCGGUCUGAUAAGCCGGUUGUGAAAGCCCCGGGCUCAACCUGGGAACGGCAUCCGGAACUGUCAGGCUAGAGUGCAGGAGAGGAAGGUAGAAUUCCCGGUGUAGCGGUGAAAUGCGUAGAGAUCGGGAGGAAUACCAGUGGCGAAGGCGGCCUUCUGGACUGACACUGACGCUGAGGUGCGAAAGCGUGGGUAGCAAACAGGAUUAGAUACCCCGGUAGUC